UUUAAUUCGAAGCAACGCGAAGAACCUUACCAGGUCUUGACAUCCUCUGACAACUCUAGAGAUAGAGCGUUCCCCUUCGGGGGACAGAGUGACAGGUGGUGCAUGGUUGUCGUCAGCUCGUGUCGUGAGAUGUUGGGUUAAGUCCCGCAACGAGCGCAACCCUUGAUCUUAGUUGCCAGCAUUUAGUUGGGCACUCUAAGGUGACUGCCGGUGACAAACCGAAGGAAGGUGGGGAUGACGUCAAAUCAUCAUGCCCCUUAUGACCUGGGCUACACACGUGCUACAAUGGAUGGUACAAAGGGCUGCAAGACCGCGAGGUCAAGCCAAUCCCAUAAAACCAUUCUCAGUUCGGAUUGUAGGCUGCAACUCGCCUACAUGAAGCUGGAAUCGCUAGUAAUCGCGGAUCAGCAUGCCG
rnacentral:rRNA from 1 species